rnacentral:rRNA from 1 species
GACGAACGCUGGCGGCGUGCCUAAUACAUGCAAGUCGAGCGGACGGAUGGGAGCUUGCUCCCAGACCGUCAGCGGCGGACGGGUGAGUAACACGUGGGCAACCUGCCUGUAAGACUGGGAUAACUCCGGGAAACCGGGGCUAAUACCGGAUAACUCUUUCCCUCACAUGAGGGAAAGCUGAAAGAUGGCAUCUCGCUAUCACUUACAGAUGGGCCCGCGGCGCAUUAGCUAGUUGGUGAGGUAACGGCUCACCAAGGCGACGAUGCGUAGCCGACCUGAGAGGGUGAUCGGCCACACUGGGACUGAGACACGGCCCAGACUCCUACGGGAGGCAGCAGUAGGGAAUCUUCCGCAAUGGACGAAAGUCUGACGGAGCAACGCCGCGUGAGUGAUGAAGGUUUUCGGAUCGUAAAACUCUGUUGUCAGGGAAGAACAAGUGCCGGAGUAACUGCCGGUACCUUGACGGUACCUGACCAGAAAGCCACGGCUAACUACGUG